rnacentral:rRNA from 1 species
GCCUAUGACCACACCACCCUGAAAGUGCCUGAUCUCGUCGGGCCUGGUUAGUACCUGGAUGGGAGAUUGCCUGGGAAUACCAGGUGUCGUAGGCU